rnacentral:rRNA from 1 species
CACAGCUCCCUGCAAACUCGUAAGAGGAAGUAUAGGGGGUGACACCUGACCAAUGCCGGAAGGUCAACCACGGUGGGUACACAUACUUCGGUGUGUGUGCUGGACUGUGUAAGCCCCGGUGAAUGUCGGCGAUAACUAUAAUCGUCCUAAGGUUCGCGGUACGAUCUCGGUCGCACCGCGAAGGACUAGGACGGUUAUAGGGUAAAUAGAAAAAAACACCAAGUUACCUGAUCAUGGAGCAAUCUGUGAUUUGUCCAACAUGACUCAAAUGAGAGACCAUACGUCAUAGCCCCGACGCCGAAAGGUAUCGGGGACAAGAUAUGGUCCUUCGCGUGCUGAAAGGAAACGAAGAGCGUAAUUCCUUGUCGGGUAAGGAAGUUGCCCGUUCUGGAAGCGAUUCCAGAAGCAAAAUCGGCUAUAACGGUGAAGUCCUCGCUGGAGCUCCACACAAGGGUGGCGCAGUGAAAGCAGGAGAAUACCGUGGGAAGUCGCCCAACCACACUUUCGAGUGUGAUGGAUUGACCCCGUAUCGACUUUAGUUGUUGGCAAUGUGCUGCAACUAGGAUGGAGCGUAAUUGGAAUAUAAAUUCGCAAUACCUUCAUAAUACGCCGACGCUGAUAACAUUCUGUUGUCAGAUGAAGAUAUAGUCAGUGCCCGUAGAAAUACGGGAAGAACAUGAAGUUCCGACGUGCACGAAUGGUGUAAUGACUGGGAAACUGUCUCGAGGACUCGCUCGGUGAAAAUGCACUUCCGGUGAAGAUGCCGGAUACCCAUAGUUAGACGAAAAGACCCCAGGAGCUUUACUACAGCUUCGUAUUGGCAUUACGUGCUGCAUGCGUAGCAUAGAGGUGAGAGAUUGAAGCAUCGGUUUCGGCUGGUGUGGACUCGACAGUGAAAUAGCCUUCUUGCUGUGUGUAAUGUCUAACCCCGUUGGGAUCCAACGGGGGACCGUGCGUGGCGGGUAGUGUUGGUGGGGCGCUAUCCUCCUAAAGAGUAACGGAGGAGUCUAUUAAGGUUCUCUAGCCGCGAAUGGAAACCGUGGCGAUAGUGUAAUGGCAUAAGAGAGCUUAACUGAAAGGGGUACAUCCCGAUCAGAUGCGAAAGCAGAGCAUAGUGAACUUCUAGUACGCCUUAGAUGCGGCUAAAAAUUAACGGAUAUAAGUUACCCUGGGGAUAACAGGCUAGUUCCGCCCAAGCGUCCUUAGCGACGGCGGAGUUCGGCACCUUAACGAAUCGGGGUGCCAUGCGAGUAAUCGCAUGAGUCUGGCUGGUAAUUUGGCUCU